CUCACAGUGAUGCACACACUUCUACUACAGUCACACACAUCACAGCCGGGUGAUGUCCACACAGGCUCUCACAGUGAUGCACACACUUCUACUACAGUCACACACAUCACAGCCGGGUGAUGUCCACACAGGCUCUCACAGUGAUGCACACACUUCUACUACAGCCACACACAUCACAGCUGGGUGAUGUCCACACAGGCUCUCACAGUGAUGCACACACUUCUACUACAGUCACACACAUCACAGCCGGGUGAUGUCCACACAGGCUCUCACAGUGAUGCACACACUUCUACUACAGCCACACACAUCACAGCUGGGUGAUGUCCACACAGGCUCUCACAGUGAUGCACACACUUCUACUACAGUCACACACAUCACAGCCGGGUGAUGUCCACACAGGCUCUCACAGUGAUGCACACACUUCUACUACAGUCACACACAUCACAGCCGGGUGGUGUCCACACAGGCUCUCACAGUGAUGCACACACUUCUACUACAGCCACACACAUCACAGCCGGGUGAUGUCCACACAGGCUCUCACAGUGAUGCACACACUUCUACUACAGUCACACACAUCACAGCCGGGUGAUGUCCACACAGGCUCUCACAGUGAUGCACACACUUCUACUACAGCCACACACAUCACAGCUGGGUGAUGUCCACACAGGCUCUCACAGUGAUGCACACACUUCUACUACAGUCACACACAUCACAGCCGGGUGGUGUCCACACAGGCUCUCACAGUGAUGCACACACUUCUACUACAGUCACACACAUCACAGCUGGGUGAUGUCCACACAGGCUCUCACAGUGAUGCACACACUUCUACUACAGUCACACACAUCACAGCCGGGUGAUGUCCACACAGGCUCUCACAGUGAUGCACACACUUCUACUACAGCCACACACAUCACAGCUGGGUGAUGUCCACACAGGCUCUCACAGUGAUGCACACACUUCUACUACAGUCACACACAUCACAGCCGGGUGAUGUCCACACAGGCUCUCACAGUGAUGCACACACUUCUACUACAGUCACACACAUCACAGCCGGGUGGUGUCCACACAGGCUCUCACAGUGAUGCACACACUUCUACUACAGCCACACACAUCACAGCCGGGUGAUGUCCACACAGGCUCUCACAGUGAUGCACACACUUCUACUACAGUCACACA